AUGUAUCUUGUCAUCUACCUGCUGACAGACCUGUUGGCCCAAGGACAGCUCAGUGCCAAGAGGGAAAGGAAAACAGUAAAAACUCAGAACAGGGAAGCCAGUAGGCGGGUGACGCGACAGGACCCCGUGAGCCUUGUCGCUGCUACUAUUGCUCUUCCCGCUUCUCCAGCAGCGCAGAAAGGCAGACGACGCGAUGGAAUCCGGUUGCAACGUCUGCGUUUAGCACAAACCUCAGGGAACAGGCACAGAAAGUCGACAUCGGUCUUGGUUCCCGUGGUUUCCAUCUGGGCAAGGACAUCCCCAGCUGCAGGGGGUAAGCAGACGGCUCGUGCUCAGCAGACUAGACGGCCCACGGGACAGAGGUUCCUACUAGCUGUUCUCAGGAACACGCACAUAGGGCCCGGGCGUUCGCAUGGGUUUGCUUCCGAUCUGCCCGCGUCGCCACCGCCCUUACUCGUCCCGCCGGCUCUGGAAACUUCCCAGAAGCCACGCAGAGUCUACGAGGCAAGUCGCCCGGACUGGCAGCCACCAGGGCAACCGGGGACGACCCCGCCUUGUGCUUGGUCCGUAAGCGGCCCCCUGCUAAGUGUGCGCAUUCCUGAAAGACAACAGUAUAGGUGCCGCCAGAUCCGCCAUCAGUACCGGGCGCUCAUCAACUAGGUCCAACAAAACCGGGAGGACAUACUGAAUGCCAGCGACAAAUUAACAGAGGUCCUUGAAGAGGCCAACACUUUGUUCAAUGGAGUGUCCCGAGCACGAGAAGCAGUCCUGGAUGCCCACUUUCUUGUUUUGGCUUCGGAUUUGGGCAAAGAGAAAGCAAAGCAGCUGCGCUCUGAUCUGAACUCCUUUGAUAUGUUGAGAUAAUGUUGAAACUCUACUGACCCAUAUGGGUGUAAAUCCGCUAGAAGCUGAAGAACUCAUCCGUGAUGAAGAUAGUUCUCAUUUUGAAUUCAUUGUCUAUGACUCCUGGAAAAUAUCAGGCAAAACAGCAGAAAACACCUUUAAUAAAACCCAUACAUUCCACUUUCUGUUGGGUUCAAUACACGGAGAGUUUCCUGCGCCAAAGCCACGAAUUGAUCGUCCAAGAAAAGUUCGUAUGAUAGAAGAGCAGAGGGCAAUGCCUGCCCAGUUAAGAAGAAUGGAAGAGUCUCAUCAGGAAGCAACAGAGAAAGAAGUAGAAAGAAUCUUGGGAUUGUUGCAAACAUAUUUUCGAGAAGAUCAAAACAUCUUUCAUGUUUCCUUCAUUAUACGGGAUGGUUUUGCAAGAAUAAGACUUGAUCAAGACCGACUGCCAAUAAUAGAGCCUGUUAAUAUUAAUGAAGAAAAUGAGGGAAUUGACCAAAACACGCAAGUUAGGAAUCAAGGAAUUAUAGCUCUGAGUUACCGUGACUGGGAGGAAAUUGUGAAGACCUUUGAGAUUUCAGAGCCUGUGAUUACUUCAAGUCAGAGCCAGUAGCGGCUUUUCCUUGAUGCCAGCUGAAGGUCUCAGGUGGAUAGUGAAAUCCAAGAAGGAAAGCAGCAUGGAUUGUAUAUAUUGUAUGAUUCAACUUUUUUAAAGACAGAUUGUUUUUAGUAAAAUGUAGCUUUUGAUAGUUAA